CCGCUCUCCAAUGUGACUAGAUUUCGGAUAAAUUCACCCGUUUUCAAGUCCCAAAGUUUUACAGUCCCAUCAUCUGAGCUGUGAUCUCGUUGUGUUGUACACUGGCAGUUGGGCAAACCGAACAUCCACGAAAAUGAGCUUAACCAUCCUCAAGAGAUUUUGACUGUAGAAUCAGCAUUCCCAGACACAAGUAUAUUGUCCUUGAGUUCCAUUCCACUUGUGAGUGACUGGUGG